CAUUACCUAGUAAUACAAAUAUAGCAGUUAGUCAAACAUUACCUAUUAAUACCAAAGGGCAGCAGGGGCAGAGCUUUGGAAAAGUUACUUUUUUAGACUGGGGGAUUCUGAGAGUUGUAGCCUUCAAAAGCUUCAGGUUCAGCUGCUUGUACUUUUUCUAUUGCAGGAAACUGACAGUUGGAGGGUCCUAUGGAACCUGUUGAAAAUGGGAACCCAGUAUUUAUUUAUUUAGCUUUCAGAUGCAAGACUGGAUAUAAGAUGGUGCCAAGUUAACUGAGAGAGUUGGGAGAGAGAGAACCCGGCCUGCUAAAUCAAAUGAGAGAAUACAACAGCAGCAACAGUGAUGGAAAGAGCAGUCCAGAAGUGAAAAGUAUGAUGUCAUCAAUCUUGGCCAACACAACAUGAGGAUCCCUCCAAAGAAAUGUGGCUCUUUACAAGGAAAAAAAAGGUGCCCAACUCCUGUUUUGGGGUACCUGAAGGGAGAUGGCAGAAAUACCCCCACCAUCAUGAAGUUCCCAGAAUGACCUUAAUUCAGUCACUAUUUUCUUGACCAAAAUUCCUCACAAGGAUAUUAUGAAGAUAAUAUGGGAUGUGCUUCAACCAUUCUUAUGUUUAAAAACAUGUUAAACAUACCUAUUUUUGAAAGUCUUCUGGCUUCCUCCCAUUUAUGUUAAUGGACAAUGUAGAUAUUUCACCCUGAUUUUGUGUUGUUUUAUGUUGUUAUAUUAUGCUUGUGCAUUGAUUUGAAAUCUUCAGAUGAACUUGGUUCAUAAAUAUUCAUACAUGAAUACAUACCAUAUAUACUCAA